rnacentral:rRNA from 1 species
UUAAGUGACUAAGCGUACACGGUGGAUGCCCUGGCAGUCAGAGGCGAUGAAGGACGUGCUAAUCUGCGAAAAGCGUCGGUAAGGUGAUAUGAACCGUUAUAACCGGCGAUGUCCGAAUGGGGAAACCCAGUGCAAUUCGUUGCACUAUCGUUAACUGAAUACAUAGGUUAACGAGGCGAACCGGGGGAACUGAAACAUCUAAGUACCCCGAGGAAAAGAAAUCAACCGAGAUUCCCCCAGUAGCGGCGAGCGAACGGGGAGCAGCCCAGAGUCUGAAUCAGCUUGUGUGUUAGUGGAACGGUCUGGAAAGUCCGACGGUACAGGGUGAUAGUCCCGUACACCAAAAUGCACAGGCUGUGAACUCGAAGAGUAGGGCGGGACACGUGGUAUCCUGUCUGAAUAUGGGGGGACCAUCCUCCAAGGCUAAAUACUCCUGACUGACCGAUAGUGAACCAGUACCGUGAGGGAAAGGCGAAAAGAACCCCGGCGAGGGGAGUGAAAAAGAACCUGAAACCGUGUACGUACAAGCAGUGGGAGCACCUUCGGGUGUGACUGCGUACCUUUUGUAUAAUGGGUCAGCGACUUAUAUUCUGUAGCAAGGUUAACCGUAUAGGGGAGCCGCAGGGAAACCGAGUCUUAACUGGGCGUUAAGUUGCAGGGUAUAGACCCGAAACCCGGUGAUCUAGCCAUGGGCAGGUUGAAGGUUGGGUAACACUAACUGGAGGACCGAACCGACUAAUGUUGAAAAAUUAGCGGAUGACUUGUGGCUGGGGGUGAAAGGCCAAUCAAACCGGGAGAUAGCUGGUUCUCCCCGAAAGCUAUUUAGGUAGCGCCUCGUGAAUUCAUCUUCGGGGGUAGAGCACUGUUUCGGCUAGGGGGUCAUCCCGACUUACCAACCCGAUGCAAACUACGAAUACCGAAGAAUGUUAUCACGGGAGACACACGGCGGGUGCUAACGUCCGUCGUGAAGAGGGAAACAACCCAGACCGCCAGCUAAGGUCCCAAAGUCAUGGUUAAGUGGGAAACGAUGUGGGAAGGCACAGACAGCCAGGAUGUUGGCUUAGAAGCAGCCAUCAUUUAAAGAAAGCGUAAUAGCUCACUGGUCGAGUCGGCCUGCGCGGAAGAUGUAACGGGGCUAAACCAUGCACCGAAGCUGCGGCAGCGACACUAUGUGUUGUUGGGUAGGGGAGCGUUCUGUAAGCCUGCGAAGGUGUGCUGUGAGGCAUGCUGGAGGUAUCAGAAGUGCGAAUGCUGACAUAAGUAACGAUAAAGCGGGUGAAAAGCCCGCUCGCCGGAAGACCAAGGGUUCCUGUCCAACGUUAAUCGGGGCAGGGUGAGUCGACCCCUAAGGCGAGGCCGAAAGGCGUAGUCGAUGGGAAACAGGUUAAUAUUCCUGUACUUGGUGUUACUGCGAAGGGGGGACGGAGAAGGCUAUGUUAGCCGGGCGACGGUUGUCCCGGUUUAAGCAUGUAGGCUGAUUGUCCAGGCAAAUCCGGAUAAUCAAGGCUGAGGUGUGAUGACGAGGCACUACGGUGCUGAAGUAACAAAUGCCCUGCUUCCAGGAAAAGCCUCUAAGCAUCAGGUAACAUUAAAUCGUACCCCAAACCGACACAGGUGGUCAGGUAGAGAAUACCAAGGCGCUUGAGAGAACUCGGGUGAAGGAACUAGGCAAAAUGGUGCCGUAACUUCGGGAGAAGGCACGCUGGUGUGUAGGUGAAGCCCCUGCGGGUGGAGCUGAGACCAGUCGAAGAUACCAGCUGGCUGCAACUGUUUAUUAAAAACACAGCACUGUGCAAACACGAAAGUGGACGUAUACGGUGUGACGCCUGCCCGGUGCCGGAAGGUUAAUUGAUGGGGUUAUCCGUAAGGAGAAGCUCUUGAUCGAAGCCCCGGUAAACGGCGGCCGUAACUAUAACGGUCCUAAGGUAGCGAAAUUCCUUGUCGGGUAAGUUCCGACCUGCACGAAUGGCGUAAUGAUGGCCAGGCUGUCUCCACCCGAGACUCAGUGAAAUUGAACUCGCUGUGAAGAUGCAGUGUACCCGCGGCAAGACGGAAAGACCCCGUGAACCUUUACUAUAGCUUGACACUGAACAUUGAGCCUUGAUGUGUAGGAUAGGUGGGAGGCUUUGAAGCGUGGACGCCAGUCUGCGUGGAGCCAACCUUGAAAUACCACCCUUUAAUGUUUGAUGUUCUAACGUUGGCCCCUGACCGGGGUUGCGGACAGUGUCUGGUGGGUAGUUUGACUGGGGCGGUCUCCUCCCAAAGCGUAACGGAGGAGCACGAAGGUUAGCUAAUCCUGGUCGGACAUCAGGAGGUUAGUGCAAUGGCAUAAGCUAGCUUGACUGCGAGCGUGACGGCGCGAGCAGGUGCGAAAGCAGGUCAUAGUGAUCCGGUGGUUCUGAAUGGAAGGGCCAUCGCUCAACGGAUAAAAGGUACUCCGGGGAUAACAGGCUGAUACCGCCCAAGAGUUCAUAUCGACGGCGGUGUUUGGCACCUCGAUGUCGGCUCAUCACAUCCUGGGGCUGAAGUAGGUCCCAAGGGUAUGGCUGUUCGCCAUUUAAAGUGGUACGCGAGCUGGGUUUAGAACGUCGUGAGACAGUUCGGUCCCUAUCUGCCGUGGGCGCUGGAGAAUUGAGGGGGGCUGCUCCUAGUACGAGAGGACCGGAGUGGACGCAUCACUGGUGUUCGGGUUGUCAUGCCAAUGGCACUGCCCGGUAGCUAAAUGCGGAAGAGAUAAGUGCUGAAAGCAUCUAAGCACGAAACUUGCCCCGAGAUGAGUUCUCCCUGAGACUUUAAGUCUCCUGAAGGAACGUUGAAGACGACGACGUUGAUAGGCCGGGUGUGUAAGCGCAGCGAUGCGUUGAGCUAACCGGUACUAAUGAACCGUGAGGCUUAACCUU